GACGAACGCUGGCGGCGUGCUUAACACAUGCAAGUCGAGCGGAAAGGCCCUUCGGGGUACUCGAGCGGCGAACGGGUGAGUAACACGUGAGUAACCUGCACCAGACUUUGGGAUAACCCUCGGAAACGGGGGCUAAUACCGGAUACGACACAGCUUCGCAUGGGGUCUGUGUGGAAAGUUUUUCGGUUUGGGAUGGGCUCGCGGCCUAUCAGCUUGUUGGUGGGGUGAUGGCCUACCAAGGCGACGACGGGUAGCCGGCCUGAGAGGGCGACCGGCCACACUGGGACUGAGACACGGCCCAGACUCCUACGGGAGGCAGCAGUGGGGAAUAUUGCACAAUGGGCGGAAGCCUGAUGCAGCGACGCCGCGUGAGGGAUGACGGCCUUCGGAUUGUAAACCUCUUUCAGCAGGGACGAAGCGUAAGUGACGGUACCUGCAGAAGAAGCGCCGGCCAACUACGUG
rnacentral:rRNA from 1 species